rnacentral:rRNA from 1 species
ACGCUGGCGGCACGCCUAACACAUGCAAGUCGAACGAAGUAGCAAUACUUAGUGGCAGACGGGUGAGUAACAUGUAGGUAUCUGCCCUUUGGCCUGGAAUAACACGAGGAAACUUGUGCUAAUACCGGAUAAGUCUUUACAGAGAAAGCUUUAUGCACCAUUGGAUGAGCCUGCACUUGAUUAGUUUGUUGGUGGGGUAAUGGCCUACCAAGACUGUGAUCAAUAGCUGAUUUGAGAGGAUGAUCAGCCACAUUGGGACUGAGACACGGCCCAAACUCCUACGGGAGGCAGCAGUGGGGAAUCUUGCACAAUGGAGGAAACUCUGAUGCAGCGAUGCCGCGUGAGUGAAGAAGGCCUUUGGGUUGUAAAGCUCUUUCGUCGGGGAAGAAAAUGACUGUACCCGAAUAAGAAGGUCCGGCUAACUUCGUGCCAGCAGCCGCGGUAAUACGAAGGGACCUAGCGUAGUUCGGAAUUACUGGGCUUAAAGAGUUCGUAGGUGGUUGAAAAAGUUAGUGGUGAAAUCCCAGAGCUUAACUCUGGAACUGCCAUUAAAACUUUUCAGCUAGAGUAUGAUAGAGGAAAGCAGAAUUUCUAGUGUAGAGGUGAAAUUCGUAGAUAUUAGAAAGAAUACCAAUUGCGAAGGCAGCUUUCUGGAUCAUUACUGACACUGAGGAACGAAAGCAUGGGUAGCGAAGAGGAUUAGAUACCCUCGUAGUCCAUGCCGUAAACGAUGUGUGUUAGACGUUGGAAAUUUAUUUUCAGUGUCGCAGGGAAACCGAUAAACACACCGCCUGGGGAGUACGACCGCAAGGUUAAAACUCAAAUGAAUUGACGGGGACCCGCACAAGUAGUGGAGCAUGUGGUUUAAUUCGAAGAUACGCGCAGAACCUUACCAACACUUGACAUGUUCGUCGCGACUCUAAGAGAUUAGAGUUUUCGGUUCGGCCGGACGAAACACAGGUGCUGCAUGGCUGUCGUCAGCUCGUGUCGUGAGAUGUUGGGUUAAGUCCCGCAACGAGCGCAACCCUCACUUUUAGUUGCCAUCAUUAAGUUGGGCACUCUGAAAGAACUGCCAGUGAUAAGCUGGAGGAAGGUGGGGAUGACGUCAAGUCCUCAUGGCCCUUACGUGUUGGGCUACACACGUGCUACAAUGGCAUCUACAACAGGAAGCAAGACUGCGAAGUUAAGCAAAUCCCGAAAAGAUGCCUCAGUUCGGAUUGCACUCUGCAACUCGAGUGCAUGAAGCUGGAAUUACUAGUAAUCGUGGAUCAGCGUGCCACGGUGAAUGCGUUCCCGGGUCUUGUACACACCGC